UACGUGGAGGCGAGCGUGUUGAAUCGAUCUGGGCGUAAAGGGCGCGUAGGCGGCCUUCUAAGUCGAACGUGAAAUCCCCGGGCUCAACCCGGGAACUGCGUCCGAUACUGGGAGGCUUGAAUCCGGGAGAGGGAUGUGGAAUUCCAGGUGUAGCGGUGAAAUGCGUAGAUAUCUGGAGGAACACCGGUGGCGAAGGCGGCAUCCUGGACCGGUAUUGACGCUGAGGCGCGAAAGCC
rnacentral:rRNA from 1 species